UACGAAGGUCCCAAGCGUUGUUCGGAAUCACUGGGCGUAAAGGGAGCGUAGGCGGCGCGGUAAGUCGGGUGUGAAAUCUCGGGGCUUAACUCCGAAACUGCAUUCGAUACUGCCGUGCUUGAGGACUGGAGAGGAGACUGGAAUUUACGGUGUAGCGGUGAAAUGCGUAGAUAUCGUAAGGAAGACCAGUGGCGAAGGCGGGUCUCUGGACAGUUCCUGACGCUGAGGCACGAAGGCCAGGGGAGCAAACGGG
rnacentral:rRNA from 1 species